rnacentral:rRNA from 1 species
AUUGAACGCUGGCGGCAGGCCUAACACAUGCAAGUCGAACGAGUGGCGGACGGGUGAGUAAUGUCUGGGAAACUGCCUGAUGGAGGGGGAUAACUACUGGAAACGGUAGCUAAUACCGCAUACCAUCGGAUGUGCCCAGAUGGGAUUCGCUGGUAGGUGGGGUAACGGCUCACCUAGGCGACGAUCCCUAGCUGGUCUGAGAGGAUGACCAGCCACACGGGAACUGAGACAAGGUCCAGACUCCUACGGGAGGCAGCAGUGGGGAAUCUUGCACAAUGGGCGCAAGCCGGAUGCAGCCAUGCCGCGUGUAUGAUGAAGGCCUUAGGGUUGUAAAGUACUUUCAGCGGGGAGGCGUUACCCGCAUAGGAAGCACCGGCUAACUCCGUGCCAGCAGCCGCGGUAAUAC